UGAAUUCUCUCCUCCCAAAAAACACCAUUCUUGUUUUCCUCCCCCCACACCCAAUGGCGCAAACCCACUCCUCCUUAUUCUCAUAUUUUUCAACAUCUCAAACCCAAAUCCUGAAAAUCACAUAUCUCUCAACCUCUCAAACCCAAUCCCAUAAAAUGCUUUGAAAACUUCCACGGACAACCUAAUCACCAUCAUCAUCACUCUUCAAAAUACACUCGAUUGCAAUCUCAAACUCCG
rnacentral:lncRNA from 1 species